GAUGAACGCUGGCGGCGUGCUUAACACAUGCAAGUCGAACGAGAAGUGAAGACGGAAACCUUCGGGCGGAAGGCUUUAUUUCGAGUGGCGGACGGGUGAGUAACGCGUGGGUAACCUGCCUCAUACAGGGGGAUAACAGUUGGAAACGACUGUUAAUACCGCAUAAGACCACAGCACCGCAUGGUGCGGGGGUAAAAACUCCGGUGGUAUGAGAUGGACCCGCGUUCGAUUAGCCAGUUGGCGGGGUAACGGCCCACCAGAGCGACGAUCGAUAGCCGAUCUGAGAGGAUGACCGGCCACAUUGGGACUGAGACACGGCCCAAACUCCUACGGGAGGCAGCAGUGGGGAAUAUUGCACAAUGGGGGAAACCCUGAUGCAGCGACGCCGCGUGAGUGAAGAAGUAUUUCGGUAUGUAAAGCUCUAUCAGCAGGGAAGAAAAUGACGGUACCUGAGUAAGAAGCCCCGGCUAACUACGUG
rnacentral:rRNA from 1 species